rnacentral:rRNA from 1 species
ACGGCGAGUGAACAGGGAGAAGCCCAAAUUUGUAAUCUGGCACUUUUUACAAGUGUCCGAGUUGUAAUUUGUAGAACUGUUAUCCGUGCUGGACCAUGUACAAGUCUGUUGAAAAGCAGCAUCAUUGAAGGUGAAAAUCCUGUAGAUGAUAUGGACUACCAGUACUUUUGUGAUACGGUUUCUAAGAGUCGAGUUGUUUGGGAAUGCAGCUCAAAGUGGGUGGUAAAUUCCAUCUAAGGCUAAAUAUAAGUGAGAGACCGAUAGCAAACAAGUACCGUGAGGGAAAGAUGAAAAGAACUUUGAAAAUAGAGUUAACAGUACGUGAAAUUGCUGAAAGGGAAACGUUUGAAGUUAGUUUUGUAUUCGUUGGAUCAGCUUCGCAAGGAGUGUAUUCUGAUGAUASGCAAGUCAACAUCAGUCUAUGAGUGUCGGAGAAGGGUUUUGAGAACGUAGCAAUUCAGUUGUGUUAUAGCUUGAGACUUGGAUACGAUGCUUUGGAUUGAGGAACGCGUAGUAAGC